GACAGGGGCCCGGACAGUCACCAGGGGCUGGGCCCCCACGAAGCAAGGGGCCCGGGCAGGGCGGGGGCCAGGCCUGAAUUAUAGGCUUCUGACAGUGAAAGGGAAACAGCCAGCUGUCUGUCCAGAGGGAUAUACCAUGGGACAAGCAAACACGGCACAGGGUGAACAGGAUGCUCCGCAAACAGCACAGCCACUGUGGAAAACAGUUUGGCGUGUUCCCAUAAUCAGACAUCGUUUACUGCAGCUCCUCUCCCAGUAUUUAACCCGGAGUGAGGAAGAACGGCAUCCCCUAAGACUCGUAUUGCAAUGCCCUAGGGCCCACACCUGGGCUGGCCACAUGGCUUCAGCUCGUGGAUGAUACACAAACGUGGCCCAUCCUUACAGAGCGAGCCCAGGCAGCAGUGCAAGCGAUGGAGCUGCAUGGACCCAUCUCACACACACUCAACUCGGAGUGCAGAAGCCAGACAGGCUCCAUGGUGCAUGGUUCUGUUUAUAUGAGACUCUAGGCGACACAAGUGUAAUCUAUGGCCACAAAAAGCAGGUCAGUGGUUCCAAGCCAGGGAUCAGGGUAGCGAUGGCAAGGGGCACAGGAACUUUUGGGGUGAUGGAAAGGUCUAUAUUCAUGAUUACGGUGAUACAUUUGUUACAAUUCAUCGAAGGUAAAGUAUACCCCAAUAAACUUGAUGUAAAAAAAAAUAGACAACCUAAUUAAAUAUUAGCUCUUUAUGUAAUAUAACAGUAUAUUUUAAAUCAAAGGAGAAAGACUAGCUUGUUGAAUAAAUGGGGCUGGAAUAAUUGCUUAACUAUACGUAAUAAAGUUUGACACUUGAACUUACAAAAAAUGACAGCCCCUCACUACAAUAUUUUAAACUGCAUGUAAAUAAUAAUAUAUGUACAUUUAACUUGAAAAAGAAAAACCUAAAAAAAAUUGUACCUGAGCAGGGGGAGGGGAAAGGGUGGGGCUCCCUAGGAACAGCUGUCUUAACGUAACUGGGGCAGCUGAGCCACACAUGGGGGUCCACAAUGCUAUUCUGUUUGUUUUGUAUACACUUGAAAUCCUCCAUAGGAAGUUUUUAAAAAAGCGCAUUAGCACAUUAAAAAUCUGUGAUUCCGAAGUAGAGAGACCUCUUGAUUCAGCAUUUCUCAGUUUACCUGCCAGGGAACCCUAUUUCCAUGGACUACCGUUAACAUCUGGGGGACCAGUGUUACAUGGAGGACAUUCCUCUGCUCCACUGCCACCGGCACCCUGACAUUCCCUGCCCACGGGCACGGGGCCCUGCGAUGGUCAGACCUGCUGGGACAGGGAAGUGCCGUGUGGGAUCAGCUGAACACGUGGCAAUGAUAAGGACACUGCCUCUAGUUUGCAUAGCCCUUGUGUUUGUCUUUUAAACGGCUUUCAUUUUUCCCUUUACGAUGAUGACACAAAAGAUAUGUACACGCAAAAAUAACAACAGCUCUUCUUACGGCGGGUACUCCCUGAGCCCUUUGCCACUUCCCCUUGCAGCAAGCCACAAGAUAACCUCUUGUCUCACAGGCAGAGGACAGAGGCACAGAAUGUCAGGUCACUCGACCGCAGCUAGCAACUGGCCAGGCUGGUCCUGGGACUGAAACGAGGCCGACUUGCUUUAACCAUACCCAGCUGUCUGUCUGCAGAAGUAGCUGGAUAAUACCUCACUGAAGGCCACCCCAGAGACACAUCUCUGACACUUGGGGCACUGUGCUAACAGGUGCUUAAGUUGUUUUUCAGGAACUGAGAGUCUACCCCUUAUCCAGUUCAGGCCGGUUAAGACCACUGACUCAUCAACUGGGUCUGCGAGAAUGCCCGAUAGGUGAUCCUUUCGAUGUCAGGGGGCCAAAAACUCCACCCCAAAUCUUGCUAAGGCCACCCUUCCGUGAACACGCGUCCUGUGCAGAGCCAUGAAGCCUGACUGUGCUGGCGUGGGUCAUCAGUGCCCUCACUCCUCCUCACCUCCAGGCAUCCACCCUGCACUUCCGACCACCUGCCCCUCUCCCAUAAAUAUCCCUAAUCCCCAUUUUCGGGAGGCAGAUUUGGGACUUACUCUCCCGUCUCCUCGCUUGGCUGUCUUGUGAAUAAACCCUUUCUCUGCUGCAAACUCAUCGUCUUGAUGAUGGGCAUGCUGCGCAGCAGGCAAAACGAAGCUGGUUCAGUAACAGGACUUGGGUGUGUUUUGGGCCUGUGUCCUAAGCCUUGUGCCAGGGUGUGAGGCUGCUUCGUGGCAGAUGGAGCCAUGCCCUCACCAGGGCACCUUCCAUUCCCCUGUCUACUUGGCCUCAGGGUCCCCCUCUGCCUCUCCUCUCAUUUCCUACAUUCUAACCACCUGGAGCCCAGGGGAACCUGCCUGAGCAGAGCCAGCAUCAGCAGGGGACGGGGCACAAGAACAGCCCUUCUCUGUCCUUCGGAAAUGCCUUAGGGAAACACGGAGAGCCUGCAGGGGACCUGGGGGGGAGGGGGGCGGUCUGCCCAGGCUCAAGGGGACCAGUGGGAAGAGCAGGGCUCCAAUGGGAGCAAAGUUCCAGCCUAAAGUCAGCAAAAUCCUGGUCCAUCCUUGGAGGCUGUCUUAUCUCUGCUUUAGGCAGGCGAGGGUCACAGAUCCAGCUCCGAGUCACACCCUAGAAUCAUGAAUCAGAGGGCACCAGGCCAAGGCCUAAAGGCUGGUCACACCUGAUAGGUGACCACAGGCCCUGGCCAGGGCUGGGUGGAGUCCCCGGGGCAAGGGGCUCUCUAGAGAGCGGCCCAAUGUCCCUCAAGAUUACUGGGCUGGCAAGAGCCACAGUUCACACGAAUUCCUGUCAGUCUUUUUCUGGACCAGAGGUAGGUGCCAGGAAGGAGAUAAUGGUGGAAGGGACCUUCACACCCACUCUAGGUCUGCCCAGAGCCCCUGCUGACCCCAGUAGAGGCUCUGACCUGGGCUCUCCAAUCACGACCCCUCUAGUGCACGGGCAGCACAGACAGAGGGCACAGCAGGCAGCUCCCCCGGCCCCAGGCAGUGCAGAGCAGCCCCCGGCCAUCCCUGCCCCUCUCCCUCUCUCCCGGCUGCUGGCCUGAGCUAGCAGCACAACAGGGAAAGGGUUAAUUCCAAUUCAAGCCUCUCAUCUGAUAGCUGCUCCACUAAAUGCUUCUCUGUGCCCCAGCCCGAGACACUGGAAACUCUCCCAGGAAGACAAAGGGCACUUGCUUUCCCAUAAGGAAAACCCGGGCAGCCAGCCAGGUCUCAGAACCUCCAGCCCUGCCUGCCCACGGAAACGUGGGAACCAGCAGCCCCGGCCUGGGGGGUGAGCCCAGGGGACCCUCCCGCGGAACUGAAGGGGACGAGAGCAGAACGGAAGCCACAGAUUCCAGAAAACCACGUCGCACCACACCUCAUCCAGAGCUCACAGCAAGCCUGAGCCGGGCAUUGUUCAAACAGCAGAGCAUCUGCCCCAGACGGGAGCGGGGUCUCAUCACUGACCUGAUUAAGAAUUGCCCACACGUGGUAAUAAGAAAAAGUAGGAAAAGUU